ACGUUCAGUGACGUCACGUUUAUUAUAUUUUCGUUGAAAGAUCUGAAGUUACUUCAAUUCCAGCAUUCCUAGUGCAAAGAGGAAGGGCUAAACAUAGUAUGGGAUGGUUGAUUGCAGAAGACAAUAUUAAGCGAGAGUCCAGCCUUUCAUAUUUUGGCGAACAUAAAUCAAUCCGUUGAUUGGAUGUGGCAAGAGCUUUCCAUAGUUCCAAGUUAGGAGAGGCUAAAUGGGUUCUGUUUGAAAAGAUCCAGCAUUUUUGAAAAGCAAUUAACAGAUGCGAAACAAUGUGUCUCUGUGAAAAGGGCAGGCUAAAGGUUUCAACAGCACCGGCCGAAAAAGUGGAGAUAUAAUUUCAGCAUUGAACAAGGACAGGGCAAUAUUUAUAUAUACAUGUGUAGCGUUGUUAGACUAUAUGGAUAGUCGGGCCUCGGUGACAAAAAUGAUGAAAUAACAUUGUGUUU